rnacentral:rRNA from 1 species
UCCAGACUCCUACGGGAGGCAGCAGUGGGGAAUAUUGCACAAUGGGGGAAACCCUGAUGCAGCAACGCCGCGUGAGUGAAGAAGUAUUUCGGUAUGUAAAGCUCUAUCAGCAGGGAAGAAGAAAGACGGUACCUGACUAAGAAGCCCCGGCUAACUACGUGCCAGCAGCCGCGGUAAUACGUAGGGGCAAGCGUUAUCCGGAUUUACUGGGUGUAAAGGGAGCGUAGACGGCUGUGCAAGUCUGAAGUGAAAGCCCGGGGCUCAACCGCGGAACUGCUUUGGAAACUGUAUAGCUUGAGUACUGGAGAGGCAGGCGGAAUUCCUGGUGUAGCGGUGAAAUGCGUAGAUAUCAGGAGGAACACCGGCGGGGAAGGCGGCCUGCUGGACCGUGACUGACGUUGAGGCUCGAGAGCGUGGGGAGCAAACAGGAUUAGAUACCCUCGUAU